UACGUAGGUGGCAAGCGUUGUCCGGAAUUAUUGGGCGUAAAGGGUGCGUAGGCGGUCAAUUAAGUCUAAUUUGAAAGUCCAUGGCUCAACCAUGGGAUUGGAUUGGAAACUGGUUGACUUGAGGAUAAGAGAGGAAAGUGGAAUUCCACGUGUAGCGGUGAAAUGCGUAGAGAUGUGGAGGAACACCAAUGGCGAAGGCAGCUUUCUGGCUUAUCCCUGACGCUGAGGCACGAAAGCGUGGGUAGCAAAC
rnacentral:rRNA from 1 species